rnacentral:misc_RNA from 1 species
GAUGAAGAACGUAGCGAAAUGCGAUAAGUAAUGUGAAUUGCAGAAUUCAGUGAAUCAUCGAAUCUUUGAACGCACAUUGCGCCCGCCAGUAUUCUGGCGGGCAUGCCUGUCUGGGCGUCAUUUCAACCCUCAUGCCCCUAGGGCGUGGUGUUGGGGAUCGGCCAAAGCCCGCGAGGGACGGCCGGCCCCUAAAUCUAGUGGCGGACCCGUCGUGGCCUCCUCUGCGAAGUAGUGAUAUUCCGCAUCGGAGAGCGAUGAGCCCCUGCCGUUAAACCCCCAACUUUCCAAGGUUGACCUCAGAUCAGGUAGGAAUACCCGCUGAACUUAAGCAUAUCAAUAAGCGGAGG